CUGCUUUGGCAGCAUGUAUAGUAAAAUUGCAACAAUACAGAAAAGAGUAGCACAGCCCCUAUGCAAGGAUCACAUGCAAGCUCCUUAAGUGUUUCAUAUUUUU
ensembl:snRNA U6 U6 spliceosomal RNA